CCUACGGGUGGCAGCAGUGGGGAAUAUUGGGCAAUGGGCGCAAGCCUGACCCAGCAACGCCGCGUGAAGGAAGAAGGCUUUCGGGUUGUAAACUUCUUUUCUCAGGGACGAGGAGAGUGACGUUACUUGAGGAAUAAGCCCGGGCUAACUACGUCCCAGCAGCCGCGGUAAUACGUAGGUGGCAAGCGUUAUCCGGAUUUAUUGGGUGUAAGGGGCGUGUAGGCGGGAGUGCAAGUCAGAUGUGAAAUCUCAGGGCUCAACCCUGAGACUGCAUUUGAAACUGUGGUUCUUGAGUGCUGGAGAGGCAGACGGAAUUCCGGGUGUAGCGGUGAAAUGCGUAGAUAUAAGGAGGAACACCAGUGGCGAAGGCGGAUUGCUGGACAGUAACUGACGGUGAGGCGCGAAAGCGUGGGGAGCAAACAGGAUUAGAUACCCGAGUAGUC
rnacentral:rRNA from 1 species